rnacentral:tRNA from 1 species
AUCCGUCGACUUUAGA